UACGUAGGGGGCAAGCGUUGUCCGGAAUCAUUGGGCGUAAAGAGCGUGUAGGCGGCCAGAUAAGUCCGCUGUGAAAUCUCGAGGCUCAACUUCGAGCUGUCGGUGGAAACUGUCUGGCUAGAGUCCGGAAGAGGAGAAUGGAAUUCCUGGUGUAGCGGUGAAAUGCGCAGAUAUCAGGAAGAACACCCGUGGCGAAGGCGGCCCACUGGAUCGGUACUGACGCUGAGGUGCGAAAGCGUGGGGAGCAAACAGG
rnacentral:rRNA from 1 species